rnacentral:rRNA from 1 species
CAAUAGCGUAUAUUAAAGUUGUUGCAGUUAAAAAGCUCGUAGUUGGAUUUCAGGGUUUCGUUGAUGGUCUGCCGCGAGGUAUGCACUGUCAGUGGAACUCGUCCUUCUGGAGACCUGCUCAUGGGCUUAGUUGUCUGUGAGUAAGGAUUCAGAUCGUUUACUUUGAAAAAAUUAGAGUGUUCAAAGCAGGCCAAUGCCUUGAAUACAUUAGCAUGGAAUAAUGGAAUAGGACUUUGGUUCUAUUUUGUUGGUUCUGAGAACCGAAGUAAUGAUUAAUAGGGAUAGUUGGGGGCAUUAGUAUUUCAGUGUCAGAGGUGAAAUUCUUGGAUUUCUGAAAGACUAACUACUGCGAAAGCAUUUGCCAAGGAUGUUUUCAUUAA